CCUACGGGAGGCAGCAGUGGGGAAUAUUGGACAAUGGGCGAAAGCCUGAUCCAGCAAUGCCGCGUGAGUGAUGAAGGCCUUAGGGUUGUAAAGCUCUUUUACCAGGGAUGAUAAUGACAGUACCUGGAGAAUAAGCUCCGGCUAACUCCGUGCCAGCAGCCGCGGUAAUACGGAGGGAGCUAGCGUUGUUCGGAAUUACUGGGCGUAAAGCGUACGUAGGCGGUUAUUCAAGUCAGAGGUGAAAGCCUGGAGCUCAACUCCAGAACUGCCUUUGAAACUAGAUAGCUAGAAUCUUGGAGAGGUGAGUGGAAUUCCGAGUGUAGAGGUGAAAUUCGUAGAUAUUCGGAAGAACACCAGUGGCGAAGGCGACUCACUGGACAAGUAUUGACGCUGAGGUACGAAAGCGUGGGGAGCAAACAGGAUUAGAUACCCUGGUAGUCCACGCCGUAAACGAUGAUAACUAGCUGUUCGGGCUCUACGAGCUUGAGUGGCGCNGCUACGCAUAAGUUAUCCGUCCGUCGGGAGGUACGGUCGCGAAGAAUUAAAACGUUAAAACGGUAAAGUUAGUACGGCGUGAGACGUCGCCGACGGACGACGACGAGGGAGGUUAGG
rnacentral:rRNA from 1 species